rnacentral:rRNA from 1 species
AUCGAACGCUGGCGGCAGGCCUAACACAUGCAAGUCGAGCGGAGCGGCGGACGGGGGGGGAAGGCCUGGGACUCAACAUGGUAGUGGGGGAUAAAGUCCGGAAACGGGCGCUAAUAACGCAUAAUAUCAGAUGAGCCUAGGUCGGAUUAGAUAGUUGGUGGGGUAAAGGCCUACCAAGGCGACGAUCCGUAACUGGGCUGAGAGGAUGCUCAGUCACACUGGAACUGAGACACGGUCCAGACUCCUACGGGAGGCAGCAGUGGGGAAUAUUGGACAAUGGGCGAAAGCCUGAUCCAGCCAUGCCGCGUGUGUGAAGAAGGUCUUCGGAUUGUAAAGCACUUUAAGUUGGGAGGCGUUACCAACAGAAUAAGCACCGGCUAACUUCGUGCCAGCAGCCGCGGUAAUAC